UACUAGAGUAGCACUCGCAUAUCAAUAAGCGGAGGAAAAGGAACUAACAAGGAUUCCCCUAGUAACGGCGAGUGAAGCGGGAAGAGCUCAAAUUUGAAAUCUUAAAGGGUUUCCCUUUACGAAUUGUAGUUUAAAGAAGUGUUUUCUGUUGAGGUUUUGGUAAAAGUUCCUUGGAAUAGGACAUCAUAGAGGGUGAGAAUCCCGUAUUUGACCUUUACUUUCAACUUUGUGAUACACUUUCAAAGAGUCGGAUUGUUUGGGAAUGCAGUCCAAAAUGGGUGGUAAAUUUCAUCUAAAGCUAAAUAUUGGCGAGAGACCGAUAGCGAACAAGUACCGUGAGGGAAAGAUGAAAAGAACUUUGAAAAGAGAGUUAAACAGUACGUGAAAUUGUCAAAAGGGAAGCGUUUGACACCAGUGUUGUUUUUCUGAAAAUCAAUUAAAGAACUGUUUAUGCUAAGUUGUUUAGACUUUAUCAGCUAUCUGUUUAGUUUUGAGCUUUUCUUUAAUGCACUUUUCAGUUAACAAGUCAACAUCAAUUUCUUUUGCUGUAAAAAAGCUUGAGGAAGGUGGCUUGAGAUUCGUCUUAAGUGUUUAUAGCCUCUUGCCUAUGCAGUCGGAGAGAUUGAGGUCUGCAGCGUAGAUCCUUCGGGGCUAAAUGCAUUUGUGCUAAGUUAUAGCAUUUUAUAGACAACUUGUUGACUAUGAUUUGUCUUGUAGCUUACUCGCUUAUGUUAUUUUACCUACGCUUAGGAUGUUGACACACGCGCGUGCUCGGCUCUAUACAUGACUCUGUGCAUAUCAAUAAGCGGAGGAAAAGGCAUACCUACGCUUAGGAUGUUGAUCUCUACAGUCGAGC
rnacentral:rRNA from 1 species